rnacentral:rRNA from 1 species
AAUCGAAGCAGUGAACUUCAGCCCCAGUAAACGGCGGCCGUAACUAUAACGGUCCUAAGGUAGCGAAAUUCCUUGUCGGGUAAGUUCCGACCCGCACGAAAGGCGUAACGAUUUGGGCACUGUCCCAACAACAGACUCGGUGAAAUUGUAAUUCCGGUGAAGAUGCCGGAUACCUGCGACAGGACGGAAAGACCCCAUGGAGCUUUACUGUAGCUUGACAUUGGGUCUUGGUACUACAUGUACAGGAUAGGU